rnacentral:ncRNA from 2 species
CGGUACUUGAAGAAAUGGUUUACCGUCCCACAUACAUUUUGCAUAUGUAUGUGGGACGGUAAACCGCUUCUUGGUAUCC